rnacentral:rRNA from 1 species
UACGCAGGGGGCUCGCGUUGUUCGGAAUUACUGGGCGUAAAGCGCACGUAGGCGGAUUUGUUAGUCAGGGGUGAAAUCCCGGGGCUCAACCUCGGAACUGCCUUUGAUACUGCGAGUCUCGAGCCCGGAAGAGGUGAGUGGAAUGCCUAGUGUAGAGGUGAAAUUCGUUGAUAUUAGGAAGAACACCAGUGGCGAAGGCGGCUCACUGGUCCGUCGCUGACGCUGAGGUGCGAAAGCGUGGGGAGCAAACAGG